rnacentral:rRNA from 1 species
UACGAGGGGGGCGAGCGUUGUUCGGAAUUACUGGGCGUAAAGCGCACGUAGGCGGCUUUGUAAGUUAGAGGUGAAAGCCCGGAGCUCAACUCCGGAAUUGCCUUUAAGACUGCAUCGCUAGAAUUGUGGAGAGGUGAGUGGAAUUCCGAGUGUAGAGGUGAAAUUCGUAGAUAUUCGGAAGAACACCAGUGGCGAAGGCGACUCACUGGACACAUAUUGACGCUGAGGUGCGAAAGCGUGGGGAGCAAACAGG